AUUGAACGCUGGCGGCAGGCCUAACACAUGCAAGUCGAGCGGAUGAAGGGAGCUUGCUCCUGGAUUCAGCGGCGGACGGGUGAGUAAUGCCUAGGAAUCUGCCUGGUAGUGGGGAUAACGUCCGGAAAAGGGCGCUAAUACCGCCUACGUCCCUGAGGGGAAAGGGGGGGAACUUUGGGCCCCACGCUCUCAGGUUGACCUAGGUCGGAUUAGCUAGUUGGUGGGGUAAAGGCCUACCAAGGCGACGAUCCGUAACUGGUCUGAGAGGAUGAUCAGUCACACUGGAACUGAGACACGGUCCAGACUCCUACGGGAGGCAGCAGUGGGGAAUAUUGGACAAUGGGCGAAAGCCUGAUCCAGCCAUGCCGCGUGUGUGAAGAAGGUCUUCGGAUUGUAAAGCACUUUAAGUUGGGAGGAAGGGCAGUAAGUUAAUACCUUGCUGUUUUGACGUUACCAACAGAAUAAGCACCGGCUAACUUCGUG
rnacentral:rRNA from 1 species